rnacentral:rRNA from 1 species
UACGUAGGGUGCGAGCGUUAAUCGGAAUUACUGGGCGUAAAGCGUGCGCAGGCGGUGAUGUAAGACAGGUGUGAAAUCCCCGGGCUUAACCUGGGAACUGCAUUUGUGACUGCAUCGCUGGAGUGCGGCAGAGGGGGCUGGAAUUCCGCGUGUAGCAGUGAAAUGCGUAGAUAUGCGGAGGAACACCGAUGGCGAAGGCAAUCCCCUGGGCCUGCACUGACGCUCAUGCACGAAAGCGUGGGGAGCAAACAGG